UAAACGACUCUCGGCAACGGAUAUCUCGGCUCACGCAUCGAUGAAGAACGUAGCAAAAUGCGAUACUUGGUGUGAAUUGCAGAAUCCCGUGAACCAUCGAGUUUUUGAACGCAAGUUGCGCCCGAAGCCACUUGGCUGAGGGCACGUCUGCCUGGGCGUCACGC
rnacentral:rRNA from 1 species